rnacentral:rRNA from 1 species
ACGUAGGUGGCAAGCGUUGUCCGGAAUAACUGGGCGUAAAGCGUAUGUAGACGGCAUGCCAAGCCAAAUGUGAAAUCCAGGGGCUCAACUCCGAAUCAGCACUGGAUACUGGCAAGCUAGAAUACGGUAGAGGUAAAUGGAAUUCCUGGUGUAGCGGUGAAAUGCGUAGAUAUUGGGAGGAACACCAGUGGCGAAGGCGAUUUACUGGACUGCAAUUGACGUUGAGGAACGAAAGCCAGGGGAGCAAACGG